rnacentral:rRNA from 1 species
GAGUUUGAUCCUGGCUCAGGAUGAACGCUGGCGGCGCGCCUAACACAUGCAAGUCGAACGGAGUUACUCUGAAUGAAGUUUUCGGAUGGAUUUUGGAUUAACUUAGUGGCGAACGGGUGAGUAACACGUAGGUAACCUGCCUUGUAGAGGGGGAUAGCCUUCCGAAAGGAAGAUUAAUACCGCAUAACAUCUUUUAUCGCAUGGUAGAAAGAUCAAAGGAGCAAUCCGCUACAAGAUGGACCCGCGGCGCAUUAGCUAGUUGGUGAGGUAACGGCUCACCAAGGCGACGAUGCGUAGCCGACCUGAGAGGGUGAUCGGCCACAUUGGAACUGAGACACGGUCCAGACUCCUACGGGAGGCAGCAGUGGGGAAUAUUGCGCAAGUGGGGGAAACCCUGACGCAGCAACGCCGCGUGAAUGAAGAAGGCCUUAGGG